rnacentral:rRNA from 1 species
UACGGAGGAUCCGAGCGUUAUCCGGAUUUAUUGGGUUUAAAGGGUGCGUAGGCGGACCCUUAAGUCAGUGGUGAAAGUUUGCAGCUCAACUGUAAAAUUGCCAUUGAAACUGAGGGUCUUGAGUGUAAAUGAGGUAGGCGGAAUGUGUUGUGUAGCGGUGAAAUGCGUAGAUAUAACGCAGAACACCAAUUGCGAAGGCAGCUUACUAGGAUACAACUGACGCUGAGGCACGAAAGCGUGGGGAGCAAACAGG